GGACCUGCAAUGGCGAGGGAGCAACGUGUAAAGAGGAUCGGCUGAGCACCCUCCCCAAGGAAAGGUCUCUUUGCAAUUCAGGCACUGAGAUGACUUCACUUUUUGCAGUACUGCCUGCUGCUUGCACUGCUCAGAGUGGCUGAAGGAUGCUGCAGACUAAGUAGAAUCCCUGUGCUCGUGGUGAGGACUGUACCCUCUUACUGACUGUUCUAGAUCACUGGACACAUUAGCACGUCAUAUUUGUUGCUGCACUGCUUUUAAUUUUCAAUUUCUUGUAUUGAAGGCAUGAAUGUCACUAUGAGUCUUUAAAGCAAAAACCCUCAGCUUCAGAGGUUUUGGAUUAGCCAAUCUCUCUCUCACAAACUGCCAGUUAGAUGUUGAUUUCAUUCCUUGCAUCAUUUUAGCUUUGGUAGAGUUGCUCAGUUAAGAGUAAGAAAUGAGAAACUGAUGGGAAGUCAGACUAAGAACUUCCAGUGAUUGGCACUGGGACACAAGAUACUUGGGCACUUCUCUUCACAGCUUAAUGAGCAGGAAGCAGCACAGAAUCGCUUUCUGCACAUCAAGCACUGUUACGGUAAUGCUUUCUGUGGAUCGCACAUUAAAGCUUCUGGAAGUGUUUUAUUAUUGAAACUAGUUUGCAACUUUGCUCACAUUUAAGAAGAAUUAGAGUUCAGAAAUUCAGAACGAAGCAAAAGCUCUGAGGUUUUUCUAAAAGUACUCAGAAGAAUCUUCAAUUAAGGUGAAAACUCCUUCAUGUGAAUCUCCUUUUGAAGCUGAAUAUGCUUUCGGUCAUUGAAGAUUCCCAGCACUUUGAAGCACCUGACCAUGCUGAUUACUCUUGAAGAUGUUGGCUAAACAAACCUGCACAAGACAUCACUUUGACAAGAGACAGUGUUAGCUUGAGUGAUUUGCUCCCCUCUCCCUGGGUUUGUCCAUCGUUACGUCCUCAUUAAGUAAUAAUUGUCAUUGAUUGGCAGGCUUGUGUAUGGAUGAUGGUAGAAGAAACAGAACUAUUAAACCUCCUCUGGGCAGAACAAGUGCCACAACCAAUAAGGUAGAUUAAUGAGGCAAAAUAAACUACAGAUAGCUACA